rnacentral:rRNA from 1 species
AACGUAGGAGACAAACGUUAUCCGGAGUUACUGGGCGUAAAGGGCGUGUAGGUGGUUGCGUAAGUCUGGCGUGAAAUUUUUCGGCUUAACCGGGAAAGGUCGUCGGAUACUGCGUAGCUAGAGGACGGUAGAGGCGUGUGGAAUUCCGGGUGUAGUGGUGAAAUGCGUAGAGAUCCGGAGGAACACCAGUGGCGAAGGCGACACGCUGGGCCGUACCUGACACUGAGGCGCGAUAGCAUGGGGGAGCAAACAGG